AACUUUCAACAACGGAUCUCUUGGUUCCCACAUCGAUGAAGAACGCAGCGAAAUGCGAUAAGUAAUGUGAAUUGCAGAAUUCAGUGAAUCAUCGAAUCUUUGAACGCACAUUGCGCCCCCUGGUAUUCCGGGGGGCAUGCCUGUUCGAGCGUCACA
rnacentral:rRNA from 1 species